GACGAACCGUGCGAACGUUGUUCGGAAUCACUGGGCUUAAAGGGCGCGUAGGCGGGCUGACAAGUCUGGGGUGAAAUGCCGCGGCUCAACCGUGGAACUGCCUUAGAUACUGUCGGCCUCGAGGGAGGUAGGGGCAUGCGGAACUGUGGGUGGAGGCGGUGGAAAUGCGUUGAUAUCCUCAAGGAACUCCGGGUGGCGAAAGCGGCGUGCUGGACCUCUUCUGACGCUGAGGCGCGAAAGCUAGGGGAGCAAAGCGGGGAUUAAGAUACCCGGGGUAGUCCCGAG
rnacentral:rRNA from 1 species